rnacentral:rRNA from 1 species
CAGUCGCCGCGGUAAAACGAGGGGGGCUAGCGUUGCUCGGAAUGACUGGGCGUAAAGGGCGCGUAGGCGGUUUUGACAGUCAGAUGUGAAAUUCCUGGGCUUAACCUGGGGGCUGCAUUUGAGACGUCAAGACUAGAGUGUGAGAGAGGGUUGUGGAAUUCCCAGUGUAGAGGUGAAAUUCGUAGAUAUUGGGAAGAACACCGGUGGCGAAGGCGGCAACCUGGCUCAUUACUGACGCUGAGGCGCGAAAGCGUGGGGAGCAAACAGGAUUAGAUACCCGCGUAGUCCCUGUCUCUUAUAC